rnacentral:lncRNA from 1 species
AUUUGGUCCACAACAAUCAAAACAAAACACAAGCACAAUAAUAUAUAUACAAUUAUGUGCUCAAGCGAGCAAAAGGCAAAUUGCAUUAACAUAAACAUGUGCUCAAGUGAGCAAAGAGCAAAAGCAAAUGAAUAAUAUGUACAAGAAUAGUAAAUUGCAUAAAUGUAAAGAGCAAGAAUUAAUUGUUUCUUGAUUUUUUUAUGUACAAGAAUAGUAAAUUGCAUAAAUGUAAAGAUAGAGAAGAUCAAGGUCAAACAAUAGAAAA